AAAUUGAAGAGUUUGAUCAUGGCUCAGAUUGAACGCUGGCGGCAGGCCUAACACAUGCAAGUCGAACGGUAACAGGAAGAAGCUUGCUUCUUUGCUGACGAGUGGCGGACGGGUGAGUAAUGUCUGGGAAACUGCCUGAUGGAGGGGGAUAACUACUGGAAACGGUAGCUAAUACCGCAUAAUG
rnacentral:rRNA from 1 species